UUAAAUUGAAGAGUUUGAUCAUGGCUCAGAUUGAACGCUGGCGGCAGGCCUAACACAUGCAAGUCGAACGGUAACAGAAAGCAGCUUGCUGCUUUGCUGACGAGUGGCGGACGGGUGAGUAAUGUCUGGGAAACUGCCCGAUGGAGGGGGAUAACUACUGGAAACGGUAGCUAAUACCGCAUAACGUCGCAAGACCAAAGAGGGGGACCUUCGGGCCUCUUGCCAUCGGAUGUGCCCAGAUGGGAUUAGCUAGUAGGUGGGGUAAC
rnacentral:rRNA from 1 species